rnacentral:rRNA from 1 species
GACAGAGGUGCCAAGCGUUAGGCGGAAUCACUGGGCUUAAAGCGUGUGUAGGCGGGCGAUCAAGUACCUUGUGAAAUCCCACGGCUCAACCGUGGAACUGCUGGGUAUACUGGUUGUCUUGAGCCAGCUAGGGGCGAGUGGAAUUCCCGGUGUAGCGGUGAAAUGCGCAGAUAUCGGGAGGAACACCAAUUGCGAAGGCAGCUCGCUGGGACGUUACUGACGCUGAGACGCGAAAGCGUGGGGAGCAAACAGG